rnacentral:lncRNA from 1 species
CACCUAUGCCGCCUGGACAAUUUCCUCAGAGACCAGGUGGUCCUCCACCACAAUUUUCCAUGCCGCCUCCUCAGUAUGGGCAGAGACCUAUGGGCCCACCUCCUCCUGGACAGAUGGUUAGAGGACCUCCUCCUCCACCUCGUCCUGGAAUGCAAGCACCACCACGUCCUGGCAUGCCUCCUCCUCCUGGAAGCGGUGUUCCGGUGUAUGGUCCACCUCGGCCUGGCAUGCC